rnacentral:rRNA from 1 species
UGGCGGCGUGCUUAACACAUGCAAGUCGAACGGAAAGGCCCUUCGGGGUACUCGAGUGGCGAACGGGUGAGUAACACGUGGGUGAUCUGCCCUGCACUCUGGGAUAAGCCUGGGAAACUGGGUCUAAUACCGGAUAGGACCACACACUUCAUGGUGAGUGGUGCAAAGCUUUUGCGGUGUGGGAUGAGCCCGCGGCCUAUCAGCUUGUUGGUGGGGUAAUGGCCCACCAAGGCGACGACGGGUAGCCGGCCUGAGAGGGUGACCGGCCACACUGGGACUGAGAUACGGCCCAGACUCCUACGGGAGGCAGCAGUGGGGAAUAUUGCACAAUGGGCGCAAGCCUGAUGCAGCGACGCCGCGUGAGGGAUGACGGCCUUCGGGUUGUAAACCUCUUUCAGUAGGGACGAAGCGAAAGUGACGGUACCUACAGAAGAAGGACCGGCCAACUACGUGCCAGCAGCCGCGGUAAUACGUAGGGUCCGAGCGUUGUCCGGAAUUACUGGGCGUAAAGAGCUCGUAGGUGGUUUGUCGCGUUGUUCGUGAAAACUCACAGCUUAACUGUGGGCGUGCGGGCGAUACGGGCAGACUAGAGUACUGCAGGGGAGACUGGAAUUCCUGGUGUAGCGGUGGAAUGCGCAGAUAUCAGGAGGAACACCGGUGGCGAAGGCGGGUCUCUGGGCAGUAACUGACGCUGAGGAGCGAAAGCGUGGGUAGCGAACAGGAUUAGAUACCCUGGUAGUCCACGCCGUAAACGGUGGGUACUAGGUGUGGGUUUCCUUCCUUGGGAUCCGUGGCGUAGCUAACGCAUUAAGUAC